UACGUAGGGUGCGAGCGUUGUCCGGAAUUAUUGGGCGUAAAGGGCUCGUAGGCGGUUUGUCGCGUCGGGAGUGAAAACCCAGGGCUUAACCCUGGGCUGGCUUUCGAUACGGGGCAGACUAGAGGUAUGCAGGGGAGAACGGAAUUCCUGGUGUAGCGGUGAAAUGCGCAGAUAUCAGGAGGAACACCGGUGGCGAAGGCGGUUCUCUGGGCAUUACCUGACGCUGAGGAGCGAAAGUGUGGGGAGCGAACAGG
rnacentral:rRNA from 1 species